rnacentral:rRNA from 1 species
AAUUUUUUACAAUGGGCGCCAGCCUGAUCCAGCCAUACCGCGUUAGUGAAUUUGGCCUUCGGCUUGUAAUGCACUUUCGGACGGUAUGAAAUAUCGCGGGCUAAUACCCUGUGCGGAUGACGUUUCUGUCAUAAUAAGCACCGGCUCACUACGUGCCAGCAGCCGCGGUAAGUCGUAGGGGGCGAGCGUUAAUCGGAAUUACUGGGUGUAAAGCGUGCGCAGGCGGGUGAUUAAGACAGGCGUUAAAUCCCACGGCUUAACCUGGGAACUGGGCGUGUGAAUGGUCAGCUAGAGUACGGCAGAGGGGGGUGGGAUGACACGUGUAGCAGUUAAAUGCGUAGGUAUGUACAGGAACACCGAUGAGGAAGGCAGCCCCCUGGGCCGAUACUGACGCUCAUGCACUAAAGCGUGGGUAGCAAACAGG